rnacentral:tRNA from 1 species
GCCACCUUAGCUCAGUUGGUAGAGCACGUCUUUCGUAAAGACGAGAUCCGCAGUUCGAUUCUGCGAGGUGGCUCAA